GAUGAACGCUGGCGGCGUGCUUAACACAUGCAAGUCGAACGGUGAAGGCGGAGCUUGCUCUGCUGGAUCAGUGGCGAACGGGUGAGUAACACGUGAGCAAUCUGCCCCUGACUCUGGGAUAAGCGCUGGAAACGGCGUCUAAUACUGGAUACGAGCUGCGAAGGCAUCUUCAGCAGCUGGAAAGAACUUCGGUCAGGGAUGAGCUCGCGGCCUAUCAGCUUGUUGGUGAGGUAACGGCUCACCAAGGCGUCGACGGGUAGCCGGCCUGAGAGGGUGACCGGCCACACUGGGACUGAGACACGGCCCAGACUCCUACGGGAGGCAGCAGUGGGGAAUAUUGCACAAUGGGCGAAAGCCUGAUGCAGCAACGCCGCGUGAGGGACGACGGUCUUCGGGUUGUAAACCUCUUUUAGCAGGGAAGAAGCGAAAGUGACGGUACCUGCAGAAAAAGCGCCGGCUAACUACGUG
rnacentral:rRNA from 1 species